rnacentral:misc_RNA from 1 species
UAUAUAUAUAUACAUAUUAAGCUUAGUUUGUUUAUUUUACAGGGUAUAUAGUAUUUGCUUGAAGAAACAUAGACUCUGGUCUGUGCUGCCAUUGUACUAAUUUGAUGGCAGUGUGCUUAAGUUUCUUAUGUAAUUGUCUAUGAAGCCAAAUGUAAGCAACUCCAAGAUUAGCUAGAUCAUGCUUGAGGGAAAGAGAAAGGACAGUCUCUAUUUAAAAACUUAUUAAGACUCAGAAAAUUACGUACAUGAGAUUUAAAUUGGCCACUAGCAUGAACCGCAAAUGAAUGAACCAAAUGUGCUUCUUUUGCCUUUUUUCUUAUGGUCAGGAGUAGAAGAAAAG